CAGCAGCCGCGGUAAUACGAAGGGGGCUAGCGUUGCUCGGAAUCACUGGGCGUAAAGGGUGCGUAGGCGGGUCUUUAAGUCAGGGGUGAAAUCCUGGAGCUCAACUCCAGAACUGCCUUUGAUACUGAAGAUCUUGAGUUCGGGAGAGGUGAGUGGAACUGCGAGUGUAGAGGUGAAAUUCGUAGAUAUUCGCAAGAACACCAGUGGCGAAGGCGGCUCACUGGCCCGAUACUGACGCUGAGGCACGAAAGCGUGGGGAGCAAACAGGAUUAGAUACCCCAGUAGUCCCUGUCUCUUAUAC
rnacentral:rRNA from 1 species